GUCAGGUCGGGGCACGAGGACGGAGUUCAGGUAGUUGGGCGACUGUUGGAAAAACUGGCCUCUCCUCGCUCCGCGCUUCGCCGCCGCCUCCCCGGGUCCUGCCGCUGCCGAGGUCGCGCAGAGGUGGACCCGCCCGCGUCCUGCCCUCGGUGAGCGCUCCGGGGCCGGCGGCGGUUCCGGCUCCUGCGGGAGCCCCGCGCCCUCAGCCUGUUGUGCGCAGAGUUGAGGCUCCGACUUGGGGCGAGUGGGCCCGGCGGGGCAGGGGCGAGGGCGGCGGGGCGGAGGAGAGGCAGGUCGGCGGGGGCCCGGGGGUUUCCUGCCCCCUUGCGUAAGUUUAGCGCGCCCCCCGUCCUGCGGUCCUGGGCGCCCGCUCCACCGGGCGCAGUAACUCGUGCGCUCCCCGCCUCUGUGCCGCCGGCCUGGAACCCCGGGAACCCUCCCGCCCCACAGCAGCCCAGGCGCGAGUGGGCGGGGUCACCGGGGGCCCGUGACUGGCAAGGUCAAACCCUGGAAGGCCCCGUCCCAGAAACGGGGCCCCUCACUCUGGCGCACCCCUCAGAGGAGAGGAGGACACCCAGAGGCACGGGGCGCCCCCAGCCCUGCCCUGCCUGGGGUUUGGGAGCCGUGAGGGGCGGAGCAGAGGGGUGGGGAGACUGAAUGAGCUUCCCGAAGCAUGUUAAUCGGUGGCGGGGACAGGGCUGGGUGAAGGGUUGUGGGGAGAGGAAGUCAAAACAGCUGAUUAUGACGGAAACGGCUCUGUGUCCCCGCUUCUGCCCGGCCGCCUCCCUGCAGCCUGGGGUUCAGGUUGGUCGCCCAGCUGGCCAUCAGCAUGCAGGGGGUGCAGGGACCCGGUGAGACUGGGAGGGGAGGGAGCCUGCAAGAAAGGGGUCCCAGGAUGUCCCCUGAGGCUCUGAGCACCCCAGACCCACUCACAGACCGAAGUGCGGGGUGGUGACUGGGGCAGGGUCUCGAGUUGGCCCCAUCUGAGACUCCCUCUGUGACUGUGUGACGAGACCUUGGCAGGCGCCAGACUGGACGCCCUCCUCAACGGGAGCUCUGGGUCCUCCCACGCCCCCCGGGGUGGGCACUCCUGCCCGUUUUGCAGAUCAGAAAAGUCGCUGGGAGAGGCUGAGGCCACAGGCUCCCAAGCGGUGGAUUUGGGACUCAGACCCCCAGCUGUGGUGCCGGUGGGUGUGGAGAGAAAAGGAAAGCCGGGUUGCUGGUGACUUACUGCUGCCCGGCCUGGUGUGGGGCUGCAGGGCUCCUGUGUGGCCCCCAUGUCCCCUUUCCCCAUUAAUACUUUGCACACUGGCGUGCACACACGCACAGGGCUGGGCUCUUCGAGAGGGUCCCGUCUGGAACAGGACGCUCAGAUCUGUCUCUGCCCCAUCCCUGACGUGGCCGGGCCCUGGCUGGGGCCGUGAGCAGGGCAGGUCCCUGUCCCUGACAUCCUGGGAGGGUCCUGGGACGGCACGAGUACGGCCCGGGCUGCAGGGUGGCUGUGCCGGAGCCCCGUCAUCUGGCUUCUGCGGCUGCCGUGCUGCAUGUGGACUGAAGGACAAAGGCAGGAGCAGGUCAGACAGGACAGGGGCAGUGGAGGGGGUGACAGGUGCUCAGACCUUAGACGUGUCUCUGCAGGGAGAACCAGGGCAGCUUCACAGGCACGUGACACUGCUGUCACACGAGGUCCUUUGUCAGAAGACCUCACAGUUGGCGCGUGCUCUGCUGUCACCAUGUUGGAACCCUUCUCUUCCCGGCUUUGUUGAGACGUGGUUGACACAGAACACGUGUGAGUCUAAGGUGAACAGCGUGACGGUUUGAGCCACACGCACGUUGCAGGAUGGCACCCACAGUAGUUCACCCCUCUGUCACCUCACAUUUUUAUUGGUGAGAACAUCUCAGAUCUACUCUUAGCAACUCAAGAAUUUAAUACGGUGUUAACUCUAGCUACAUGCUGCACACUUGUCCCCAGAAUUCGUUUAUCUUAUAGCUGGACGUUUGUACGUUUUGUCCGAUGUCUCUUUCCCACCCCCAGCCCACGGCAACCCCCAUUCUCCUCUGUUUCUGCGAGUUUGACUGCCUUGGACUCCACGUGUAAGUGGGUUAUACAGGGUUCAUCUCUGUGGGCCUUAUGUUACUGAGGAUGAUGCCCUCAGGUGAGCUCACGUUGUGCAACUGCCAGGAUUCCCGCCCCUCUCACGGCCGAGCAGGGUUCUGUUUCAUACCCCACGUCUGCUCUAUCGGUCCAUCCGUGGACGGGCGCUCGGGUGGUCUCCGCAUCCUGGCUGGUGUGGCCAGUGCUCCGUCACCGCACGGCUCCCUCGUGUUGCCCUUUUUUCUCACACUCACUCCUUCCUGCCCCCUCAGCCUGGCAGCAUUUCGUCUGCUCCCCGUCUCUAUAAUUUUGUCGUUUCAGGAAUGUUAUAUGAACGGAAUCACGUGGUGUGUAGCCCUUUGUGAUUGUCCAUCUUCACUCUGGAUAAUGGCCUUGGACCCAUCCAAGCCCCUCGUGUGUCCGUGGAGGAUCCCUUCCUGCUGCUGAGUAGCGUUCUGUGGUGUGGACAGUCCACAGUUAGUUGAAGGGCCUCUCGGUGUUUUCCCGUGUUUGUCGUGACACACAGAGCUGCUGUGAGCGUUUGUGUAGAGGCUUCUGUGUGAACGUCGGUUGUCAUUUCUCGGGACUGGAUACUCGGGAGUGUGGUUGCUGGUUUCUGGGAUGGUUGUGUGUUUAGUUUUAUAGGAAACUGGCAAACCUGUUCCAGAGUGGCCGCGGCAUUUUGCGCUCCCGCCUUCUCCCUGGCGUCCGGCGUGAGCUGCUGCUGCGUUCAUGCCCAGCUUGGGUGUGUGGUGUGGAAUCGCAUCGUGGGUUCGCUCUGUGUCUCCAGUGCUGGUGACGUGGACGUGGUCACGGGCUCCUGCUGUGUGUGCGUCUCAUCCAGGCGGAGUCCCUGCAGCCCCGGCCGUCUUCUGGUUGGAUGGGAUCCUGACGCGUUGCAAACGUUCUCUGUAUGUUCCGGACGCCGCUCCUCCCUGGACGUGUGGUCUGCAAAUGCUCCUCCCGGCCAGGAGCUAUCUGUCCACCCCCCUCCCAGCAUCUUUGUUGCAGAGAAAACGCUUAGGUUUUACUGAGGUCCAACCUCGGCUCUUUCCUCUGUGGCUGGUGCUUUCGGCGUCAACUCCGAGAAGUCUCUGCCUGGUCACAGUCUCGAUUUUGCCCGGUGCUUUUUCCCAGAAGUUUUAUGGGUCCCCACUGUCGUUUCAGCCCAUGACGGUUGAGAGCUCGUGUGGUGUGAGGCGGGAGUGGGGCCAGGCUGAGUUUCCCGCCCACGACGUCUGAGCUUGGAGGCCCCUCGGGUGGUGGCUUCCACCGACAGGCCGCUGGGAAGGCGGGGGCAGGUUCCUCGCGUGGACCCGCCCCUCAGGCUCUGGGAACGCAGGUGGCAGCCGUCACGCAGGAUCCCGGCAGGAGACGGGGCAGUUCGAGGGGAAGCAGACGACAGGUCGCUGCGGGAUAAGCCGCACUGGCAUGGGCGGAAUGCACGAGGCCGCCGUCCCAGAGCCCGGGGCUGAGGCUGUCAGGGGCGCCUCACGAGGCUGCAGCUGUGAGUCAGAAGUGGGGUAACUGAGCAGCCACAGGCAGCGGGGACCUGGGGACACACGCCCGGCCUCCCGCCCGCCUCCUGCUGGGCCUCAGUGACUGUCUGCCUGUGCUCUGGGCUGCACUCGGACCCCAGAAUUCAUGUGUUGCAGCCGUCGCCCCCACACCUCAGCUCACUGUGCUUGGACACAGGUCCUCACAGAGGAGACAGAGCGAUAGAAGCAUCUUCUGACGCGUGCAGGGAAGUGUUCCCACACCUCGGGCAAUUCCCCGACCCCUGACAGCUCCCUGACAGCUCAGCUUGGUUCUGACGCUCUCCUGGAGCCAGCAUCGGAUUCCACAGGUUGAGGGCCCCGUCGCACGAGACGGCCUCGACUCAGACACCAAUCGCAAGCCCAGGCUGUCACUUGUGCUUCUGACCAAGAGGGACAAAUCCGAGGUUGGCGUGACCCCCUCUUUGGCUUUGAUGAAUUUGCUAGACUGGCUCACAGGACUCGGGAAGCCAGUUUACUCACUAGGUGACUGUUUAUUACGUAAGAUAUUAAGAUACAAAUCAACAGCCAGACGAAGAUACACACGACGAGGUCCUGACAAAGGAGCUUCUGUCCUCGUGGAGUUUGGGGCCUGGCAGGUGGAAGCGUUUAGUUCACCAACCCGGAAGCUCCCUCUUUUAGGUUUUGGGUUUUUAUGACUCUUCAUUACGUAGGCAUGAUCGAUUAACUCAUUGAUGUUGGUCAUUGAUUCAACCUCCAGCCCCUCUCCCAUCCCCGGAAACCAAGGGACGGGACGCAGAGUUCCAAUCACGGUUGGCUCCCCUGGCCACCAGCCCCCAUCCUUAGCGGCUUCAUAAAACUCACCUCAUUAGCAUAAACCCGGUUGUGGGGGAAAGGGCCUUGUUAGGAACGAGACACCAUGUCACCUUUGUCCUCUGAAGCAAUUUCAGGAGUGGGAGACCCAGUAUUACAACAAAAGAUGCUUCCAUUGCUCUCAUCUCUCAGGAAAUGCCGUGAGCCACGAACCCCAGAGGAAGAGCAAAUAUAUAGAAGAAAUGUUUUUGGUCAUCUGAGUGACCAAAUACUUAUUUCUCAUAAAUCGCAGUAUCGUCCUGGGGAGCCAGUACGUGGAUCAGGGCCCGGUGUUGUCAGCGCUCACCAGCCCCGCAGCCCCUUCCGUCACUGCCCCCGAGCAGCCUCUGUCCUGACUUCUGUCGUGACUGAAAAGGCAGUUUAAUUACCUUCUCGUUUUUUUGGUGUGUGUAUUCUGUAGCUUUUUCCUUUGGGGUUACUCUGAACAUCCUGUUAUCACACGCAGGUGUCAGCUUCACCAGCUUCCCCUCAGUGUCACACGGACCCUCGGCUCCUGCGCUCGGCUCUGACUCCACCUGUUCCAGUUAUUAAUGUCACCAAAUUACACCUUCAGGCGUUGUGUGUCCAGAAACAGAUACUAAUCGUUGGGUGUUUUAAUACUUUGGUCUCUGAAUGUAGAAAACGAAAGUGGAGCCACAAACCACAGUUAGAACAGCGGCAGCUUUUAUGGUCGUCCACACACGUGCUCUGACCAGGGUCUGCGUGUCUUCACGAGGCGUCGAGUUACUGUCCGGGGUCCCUUCUUUUCAGCCUGAAGGGCCCCCUUCCCGGGACGGCGGGUCUGGUGUGGGGAACUCGGCCGUGGUUUCUGUGGGGACGUCUUCGUUUCUCCUCGCGUUUGAAGGGUGGUUCUGCCACAUACAGGAUUCUUGGUGGAUUCUCUUCUCCUCCAGCACUCUGAAUGCAUCAGCCCCGGCCUCUGGCCUCCAGGUUUCUGGUGAGAAAUCUGCUGACAAAGUAAAUAUCACUCUCAAUGUCCCAUAUGAACAGAAAGCUCUUGGGGUCCUAUUCUCAAGAGGAAAGGGGUCGUGAGACCAAAACGUGAGAAACCUCAGCAGUCGACUCCCAGUCAUGACUGUCCGUUUCUUGCUCUGACCCCACAGGAGCCGCCGUGAUGGAAUUUACAAACCCUGUAAACGUCUCUUCUGGGCUUAGGUUUUUGGUCUUUACAGCGCAGGAAGCUGAUUUUUGGUGACCUGUAGGGGGACCACAACCAGCUUGUUUUCUCCUCUUCCCCCCCCCCCCCAUUUUUAAAAUUUUUUCGUUUUUAUCUGCCUUUUUCUUUUUUUCAUUUUUCUUUUAUUUUCUUUUCUAUUUUUCUUUAUUCUCCUCUCACUUUUUAUUCUUUUUGUCUUUUUCUCACUUUUCUUCUUUUAUUUUUCUCACUUUCUUAUUCUUCUCAGUUUUUCUUUGUUCUCCUUUUUUUAAGUUUUUCUUUUCUUAUUUUCUUUAAAUUUUUUGUUAAGUAUUGUUAGUACAGCUAGUAUGGUUGGCAUAUUUUGUAUAGUGAGUGUUAUUUAUUACCAUAGUUAGUAAGCACAGGUGGCCUUGUUAGUGUCACUAUUUAGUCCUGGCUAGCAGACUGUCGUUUUGUUUGUUGGCAUAGUUAGUAAGCCUAGUCAGCAUCGUCAGUUAGCAGUGUCAGUGUAGUCAGCAGGUCACCAAGCUUCCGGGCCUCGCAGCCGCCUCUGCAGACAGGAAGCCCAGUGUUCGCGGCUCUGAGCUCCUCGGGGCUGUGGGCAGAGCAGCUGCUCCGUGGUGAGGCGGGGCCGGCACAUCCCGACCGGAACAGCGGUGGCCAUGAAGGUCAUCCCAGCGCAGGAGCAGAGCUUCUCCGGAACAAAGGAACUUCUCUGCAAGGUCCGCGGCCUGAAGGCCUUGUGUCACCCGAGCAUCAUCGCGUUGCUGGAGGUGACGGACACGGAGCACAAGUUGUAUCUCGUCGUCGAGCACGUCCGCGGGGGAGACCUGUACCAUCACCUGGUCGAGCACGGCCCCGUGAUGGAGGAGGAGGCCCAACCGGCUCCCCUCGGCCCUCCAGUGCUGCCACAGCAAAGGCAUCGUGCACGGGGACGUGAGGCUGGGACGGUGCUGCCCCACGCUGCGCUCAGCGUGAAGGGGGCAGACGUUCACUCAGCGCUGUGUUCCUGGGCCGCAGGCUGAGCACGGGCCAUGGCAGCCCCUGGGGCCCACCCAGAGGACCUCCUGGGCCGGGACUACGACGGGCCCUCAGCAGACGUCUGAUCCUUGGUGUGCUGCUCCACGGCCCACUCGCCGGGUCCCUGCCCUUCCCGUGAGACGACUACGGGGCGGGGUGGUGGGUGCUGAGCGGGCGGUGCCCUCCCCCAUGUUACUGUGGUGCGAGUACAGGAAGCUGCUGUGAAAAUUGAUGAGCCUCGACCCCAGCACGAGGAGCUUGAGAGACAUCCGGAAGAGCCAGUGGGUCAAUAUGGGCUGGGGAGACCCAGGCCUUGCGGGGAGCUGCCCUGCAACAGAGGGGCCCCUGGGUGACACAUGUCGUGAAGAACAUGGGCUUUGGGAGGGGCGACGUCCAAGAUUCCUUACAAAGAAGGAGGUACGAUGACAUCAUGGCGACCCCCCUCACCCUGAGCGCCCAGACGCCGCAGAUGGAGGGCCGCACCGUCCAUGUAGACCUUACAUCCCUCCCAUCAGCCCCACGGCCGCACUUUCUUCCCGAACUUCGCAGCACAGCUGGUCUCUGUGCUCCCGGUGAAACGCAGCCGCAGCGAGACUGUUGUCCCCGCCUGGUCCGUGAGGCAGAGACCCAGCGGCCUGGGGAGAACCGGGAGUCGGGGACAAAGGCCAGAGGGCCUACCCGUCCCCUACCCAGCCCAGAGUCGAGGACUGACCCCACCCCAGCCCAACCCCCCAGCCUGGCCCCGGGGCCUCUGCCUCCACCCGCAGCGCCAGCAGCAGCAGUGGGGCCGGGGAACCAGCUGCCCCAGGGUGUGUCCUGUGGGGACGCCCCCCGCACGCUGGGCAGCCUGAUGGGGCCACCAGCCUCUCGCUCCGGCCCCAGCCAGGCCGGCAGGUGGGGGGCCAGCAGGGGCCACUGGGAGAUUCUUGAACUUGAUGAGACGCUUGUGUUCCCGUCUCCUCAGCAAGAAAAGGAUCGCCAGUGUAAAUUAAACUGCUCAACGUGAAGAUGCUGUGAAAGGGCACAUAGUUCACUUCUUCAUUUGUUUACACUAAGUGUCUGCAAAGUGCUUGAGGGCUGGUUUGAAAUAGGGUGUCUCAAUGGAAAAUUGGAGGUUCAGUGAGGCCAGUAGAUCAGGGGGCGACACUCUGGUUUGUUACAGCUCCCGAGGAGGGGGCACACCACACAGGCCCACGCGGGCCACACGGGAAGCACAGGGCGGUCAGAGGCCAAGGGCGUGGGGGCUGCGGGCAGGAGCAGCAAGGCGGUGAGCAGGCUCAGGACUGGCUGGUCUGGAUGACUUCACAGGCUCUGGAGCCUGGGCCUCUCCCCGGUGUCUGGUGCCCGCCCGGGUGACGGGCAGGGGGACAGUGGCCCGGAUGUGCAUGUUCAAUAAAGAAGGUGGCUGGGGUGUG
rnacentral:lncRNA from 1 species